rnacentral:rRNA from 1 species
UAGUCGUGCGCUUCCAGCCACGGUGGAGGCGCGNNNCACAGCCCAGUAACACGUGGCUAACCUACCCUUGGGACAGGGACAACUCCGGGAAACUGGAGCUAAUCCCUGAUAGGUGAAGACUCCUGGAAUGGGUCUUCGCCCAAAAGGCGUCUAAACCAUGCUUUUAGGCGCCGCCCAAGGAUGGGGCCGCGGCCGAUCAGGUUGUUGGUGAGGUAACGGCUCACCAAGCCUAUAACCGGUACGGGCCGUGGGAGCGGGAGCCCGGAGAUGGGCACUGAGACAAGGGCCCAGGCCCUACGGGGCGCAGCAGUCGCGAAAACUCCGCAAUACACGAAAGUGUGACGGGGCCAUCCCGAGUGCCGUCCGCUGAGGACGGCUUUUCCCCAGUGUAGACAGCUGGGGGAAUAAGGAGAGGGCAAGUCUGGUGUCAGCCGCCGCGGUAAUACCAGCUCUCCGAGUGGUGGGGACGCUUAUUGGGCCUAAAGCAUCCGUAGCCGGCUGGUCAAGUCCCCUGUUAAAUCCAACGAUUCAAUCGUUGGACUGCGGGGGAUACUGUCCAGCUAGGGGGCGGGAGAGGCCGACGGUAUUCCCGGGGUAGGGGUGAAAUCUUAUAAUCCCGGGAGGACCACCAGUGGCGAAGGCUGUCGGCUAGAACGCGCCCGACGGUGA